rnacentral:rRNA from 1 species
UACGUAGGGUGCGAGCGUUAAUCGGAAUUACUGGGCGUAAAGCGUGCGCAGGCGGUUCGUUGUGUCGGCGGUGAAAGCCCCGGGCUUAACCUGGGAAUGGCCGUUGAAACUGGCGAACUGGAGUGUGGCAGAGGGGGGGUGGAAUUCCGCGUGUAGCAGUGAAAUGCGUAGAGAUGCGGAGGAACACCGAUGGCGAAGGCAGCCCCCUGGGCUAACACUGACGCCUCAGGCACGAAAGCGUGGGGAGCAAACAGG